UUGCUCUUCAACGAGGAAUUCCUAGUAAGCGUGAGUCAUCAGCUCGCGUUGAUUACGUCCCUGCCCUUUGUACACACCGCCCGUCGCUACUACCGAUUGAAUGGCUUAGUGAGAUCUCUGGAUUGGCUUUGAGGAUCCGGCAACGGAACCUUAUUGCUGAAAAGCUGCUCAAACUUGGUCAUUUAGAGGAAGUAAAAGUCGUAACAAGGUUUCCGUAGGUGAACCUGCGGAAGGAUCACUAGUGAUUAAAUCGAGAGCGUCUUCAUUGACCUCUCACCCUUCACAUCCACAUACACCUGUGCACCGUUUGGCUCUUUUAAAAGACGUAAGUCUGCAAAGAGAGUCAUCAAUUUUAUACAUACCCCAGUCUUAUGAAUGUAACAGUUUUAAUAAACAAAAUAAAACUUUUAACAACGGAUCUCUUGGUUCUCGCAUCGAUGAAGAACGCAGCGAAAUGCGAUAAGUAAUGUGAAUUGCAGAAUUCAGUGAAUCAUCGAAUCUUUGAACGCACCUUGCGCUCUUUGGUAUUCCGAAGAGCAUGCCUGUUUGAGUGUCAUGAAACUCUCAACUCCCAACUUUCUUAAUAGUCGGUUGGGAGCUUGGACUUGAGCGUUGCUGGUCUUCAUUGACCGGCUCGCUUGAAAUGAAUUAGCAGAUCCUUUUUGUAAUCGGUUCCACUCGACGUGAUAAGUAUUUCGCCGAGGACAUCUUAACGGAUGGCCGAGAUAAAGAAAGUCUUAGAUCCGCUUCUAAUUCUUAGCUAGAGCUUGCUCUACUAAACCCCUUUUAUGAUCUGGCCUCAAAUCAGGUAGGACUACCCGCUGAACUUAAGCAUAUCAAUAAGCGGAGGA
rnacentral:rRNA from 1 species